GACGAACGCUGGAGGCGUGCUUAACACAUGCAAGUCGAACGAUGAAAUGGAGCUUGCUCCAUGGAUUAGUGGCGAACGGGUGAGUAACACGUGAAUAACCUGCACUUAAUUUUGGAAUAACCCAGGGAAACCUGGGCUAAUACCGGAUAAGUAAACCUGUGGCAUCACAUGGUUUUGGGAAGUUUUUCGAUUAAGGAUGGAUUCGCGGCCUAUUAGCUUGUUGGUGAGGUAAUGGCUCACCAAGGCGCCGACGGGUAGCCGGCCUGAGAGGGUGAACGGCCACACUGGGACUGAGACACGGCCCAGACUCCUACGGGAGGCAGCAGUGGGGAAUAUUGCGCAAUGGACGAAAGUCUGACGCAGCGACGCCUCGUGAGGGACGAAGGUCUUCGGAUUGUAAACCUCUUUCAGCAGGGACGAAGCGAAAGUGACGGUACCUGCAGAAGAAGCACCGGCUAACUAUGUGCCAGCCGCCGCCGUAA
rnacentral:rRNA from 1 species